GACCGCGCAGCUCAGUUGGCAGAGCAUUGGGCUAGUAUUCCAAAGGUCGUAGGUUCGAUUCCCACCGCGGCCA